rnacentral:tRNA from 2 species
GCCGCGUUAGCUCAGUUGGUAGAGCAGUGCUCUUGUAAAGCGAAGGUCGCCGGUUCGAGUCCGGCACGCGGCU